CCUACGGGGAGCUGCAGUGGGGAAUAUUGCACAAUGGGCGAAACCCUGAUGCAGCGACGCCGCGUGAGUGAAGAAGUAAUUCGUUACGUAAAGCUCUAUCAGCAGGGAAGAGAAUGACGGUACAUGAGUAGGAAGCCCCGGCGAACUACGUGCCAGCAGCCGCGGUAAUACGUAGGGGGGAAGCGUUAUCCGGAUUUACUGGGGGGAAAGGGAGCGUAGACGGGGCGCCAAGUCUGGAGUGAAAGGGCGCAGCUUAACAGCGGAACUGCUUUGGAAACUGGCGCACUCGAGUGCGGGAGGGGCAGGCGGAAGUCCUGGUGUAGCGGUGAAAUGCGUAGAUAUUAGGAGGAACACCGGUGGCGAAGGCGGCUUACUGGACCGUAACUGACGUUGAGGCUCGAAAGCGUGGGGAGCAAACAGGAUUAGAUACCCGGGUAGUC
rnacentral:rRNA from 1 species